GACGAGCCGUGCGAACGUUAUUCGGAAUCAUUGGGCUUAAAGGGCGCGUAGGCGGGCGACAGCGUCGAGUGCUGAAAGCCCCCGGCUCAACCGGGGAAUGGGCCUCGAUACGGGUCGCCUCGAGGCGAGGAGGGGGACCUGGAACUUCCGGUGGAGCGGUGAAAUGCGUUGAGAUCGGAAGGAACCCCGACGGCGAAAGCAAGGUCCUGGACUCGUCCUGACGCUGAGGCGCGAAAGCCAGGGGAGCGAACGGG
rnacentral:rRNA from 1 species